rnacentral:rRNA from 1 species
AACCUCCGCAAUGUGAGAAAUCGCGACGGGGGGAUCCCAAGUGCCAUUCUUAACGGGAUGGCUUUUCAUUAGUGUAAAGAGCUUUUGGAAUAAGAGCUGGGCAAGACCGGUGCCAGCCGCCGCGGUAACACCGGCAGCUCUAGUGGUAACAAUUUUUAUUGGGCCUAAAGCGUCCGUAGCCGGUUUAAUAAGUCUCUGGUGAAAUCCUGUAGCUUAACUGUGGGAAUUGCUGGAGAUACUAUUAGACUUGAGACCGGGAGAGGUUAGAGGUACUCCCAGGGUAGAGGUGAAAUUCUGUAAUCCUGGGAGGACCGCCUGUUGCGAAGGCGUCUAACUGGAACGGUUCUGACGGUGAGGGACGAAAGUUAGGGGCGCGAACCGGAUUAGAUACCCGGGUAGUCCUAACUGUAAACGAUGCGGACUUGGUGUUGGGGUGGCUUUGAGCUGCUCCAGUGCCGAAGGGAAGCUGUUAAGUCCGCCGCCUGGGAAGUACGGUCGCAAGACUGAAACUUAAAGGAAGU